rnacentral:rRNA from 1 species
CCCUUAGAUGUCCUGGGCCGCACGCGUGCUACACUGACGCCUACAGCGAGUACUUCCCAGCCCCGAGAGGUGGCUGGUAAUCAGCAAUAGGCGUCGUGAUGGGGAUAGAUCUUUGGAAUUAUGGAUCUUGAACGAGGAAUGCCUAGUAAGCGCAGGUCAUUAGCCUGCGCUGAUUAAGUCCCUGCCCUUUGUACACACCGCCCGUCGCUCCUACCGAUUUCGAGUGGUCCGGUGAAUCUUUCGGACUGCGCGCGGCCUCGUGCCGUGUCGCGGAAAGUCAGGUAAACCUUAUCACUUAGAGGAAGGAGAAGUCGUAACA